CUUGUUGACCAGGAUGGUCUCGAUCUCUUGACCUCGUGAUCUACCCGCCUCGGCCUCCCAAAGUGCUGGGAUUACAGGCUUGAGCCACCGCGCCCGGCCAGAGCUUUAUUUUUUAUCUAGAUUGUGUAUAUGUCAGAAGGUUGCCUAAAAUAAACUGAAGCUUCAUAGUUUAGCCUUUAGUUAUGUUUCAUAGUUUAGCAGUUAUGGAUUCAGUUAAUCUAGUACCUCUGAUUUCACAAGGGAUUAUAAUAAAUCUUUUCUCAGUUCACAGGAAUUUUGUAUAGUUGGUUAAGACAGAGAUCAAAAUGAGACAAACACUCAUUCACGUGCUCCUGGGUCCCUCCGCCAUCGCUGUCUUCCUGAGCUGCCUCCCUCUGAAUUUCUUCAUCACCAAGAGGAAUCACUGUCAGGAGAGCAAAUGAGGCAGAAGGACUUGCAGGCCCAGCUCAGCAGCCCCAUCCUCAGGAACUCGAGGAUCAUCAAGUUCCAUGGCUGGGAGGGAGCCUUUCUGGACAGAGUCCCGGGCAUCCGAGGCCAGGAGCUGGGCGCCUUGUGGACCUCCGAUCUCCUCUUCUCCGUGUCACUGGUGUCCUUCCAAGCGUCUACAUUUCUGGUAAUGUCACUCUAGUCUCUAUGCUGAGCAGGACUGGGGAAGGAAUGUAGGGGUCAGGAGGUGAGGUAGGUGGAGCCUCCCAGAUCCUACCACCCUGUCCAUCAAAACCCACACAUUUUGGAUCCUGUUCUCUCAGGGUUCUUGCUGUCUUCUGUGUGAACAAAAGUAUCACAUCAUUCUGGUGAAGGUGGCAGCAGUUGAUGAGGUCUGCUCUUCUGAGAGUUCCAGGCUUCUACUGAUGUGGGGAGGAGGAUUCAUGUGCAGGCAGGCUGCAGAGGUAGAAUCCGGGGUCUGAGUGGCUUUCCUGCUGCCGGCCAGCAGAUGUCCACAGCCACCCUGUCACUAACGUGAUCCUUGUCCUGCCAUUCUGUCAUUUAUUUCCGAUAGCUAUCAGAACACUCUUCCUAAAGCACAGCUUUCAGAAGAAUUUAAACAUGUUGAUGCAGAGGCCAGGUGCAGUGACUCAAGCCUGUCAUCCCAGCUCUUUGGGAGGCUGAGGUGGCUUGAACCCGGGUGGUGAUUGCAGUGAGCUGAGAUUGUGCCACUUCACUCCAGCCUGGGUGACAGAGCAAGACUUUGUCUCAAAAACAAAACUAAACUAAACAAAAGAAUCACAAAUGGGACCAACGCCUAGAGCCCUCCCAUGCUGCUCUCCCCAGGAGUCCCCAGGCUCAGCCCUCAUGUCUGUCACCUUGACAGAGAGGCCUUUCCUGACCACUUUCACCACCACCACGGCACCCCUGCUCACACUAGUGCGCUCUACACCUGCACCUGAAUUUCUCUUUACUUUUUUAUUUUUGAAGACAGAGUCUUGCUCUGUUCCCCAGGCUGGAGUGCAGUGAAUCAUUGAAUGAAUGAAUGUAAGAA